CUUUGCUUGUAGAAAUUCCUGCCCUGCGUGCGGUGAGGUGGGAAAAUGGGGGGAAGUUUGGAUGGAAAAGGGGUGGGAGGGAAAAAAAAAAAUAGGCAUAAAGAAAUAGAAAAUGGCUGUUUUGGGUUUAGCUCCUGGCUGUCUGCGCUGCUGAGCCUGGUCUGAACCCAGCUGGCAGCUAUGGGGCUAAGGAGCUAUGGGGCUGAGGAGGGAGCAGAGGGUCACUGCAGGGAUUUGGGGAUGAAGAGGUUCAGGGUGAGGUUUUUUUUCCCAUCUCCAUGCUCUGGAUCUGUGGGGCUGCCAUGGGAUUUGCACCAGAAUGGGACAGUGCAGCAGUGGGGCUCUAUGCUGGAGCACCCGGAGGGGCUGGUGUUGGGCUCAGGCACCUCAGGGUCCUGGUGAUGGGUGCUCAGGUACCCAAGGGUGCCAAAGGUGGAGGCUCAGGAACCUCAGGGUCCUGGUGAUAGAGGUUCAGCACAGCAGGACCUGGUGGGAGAUGAGACACAGGAGCUGCUGUGAACACGGAACCUAUGGAGGCUAUUUCAGUCCCCAUUAAGGCCAUUAAACACAGAACCCACUUGGAGCAAUUCACGCGCCUGUCUGAACACCAUGAAAUCCUCAUUCCUAUCCCAGUGGUUGCCAGGAUCCUCGUGGUUUGCAGCUCCACUCCUGGUUUAUGGGAGCUAUUAAUAUCUCCCCAGCAUUUAAGGGCGCAGGUAGAGAUCUCUACCUUUGUGCUUGGCAGUCUGCACUCUUCCUUGAAGAAUUAAGGGAAUGAAGGCAAAGCCCAUCUCGGAGCCCCUUGAGCGCAGGUCUGGGAACUGAACAUCCCAACCACAGCGAACAGAGGAUCAGAAUAGAAGAUUGCUUUUACACAGGGGAUUUUGCAGCAUGAGCUUGGCUUCUGAUGUCCAUCCAAAGCACGCAGGCAGAGAAGGAAUGCUCUGUUUUCAGUCUGCAAUGGAGUCACUGUUUUAAUUUUAGCUCCUCCAGAGCAAAGAUGUAACCAAGCUGUUACCAAAGCAAAGCACCUUAUGGGGGCUGGAAGAGGCAGAAGGACUGAACCUCCCCAUCCAGCAGUGUGUGGGUACCAGGACUCGAGGCACCCCAAAAACUGGCGAAGCUGAGCACUCAAAAUCUGUGCUUCCUUCUUAAAAAAAACCCCAAAAGAUUCAUCCCUGCUCACGGAUGUCCUUUCCCAGAGGCAGAGCUGUGCACAGAGAUCCCAAUCUCCCAAGCAGGGAGGGCAGCCAGCACAGAACAAACCCAAAACCACUUAAUGGAUGCCACUUUCCCUUUGUAAGACUGGCGCUGUUCAGUCAAUAAGUCACAGAUUUCUGUUUAUUGGGUAUGGUUUGCUGCUCCUCUCUUUGGCCAUAUUGUGAAAUUCCUGAGCCUCAUUGCACUGAAAGGUUUUGCAAAUGUUUUUAGCCAUGAGCCUUUGAGCUUGCAGGUCGCGCAAUGGAAAUGUUGCAAUGGAUCUUUGCAGGUGGUGUUGCAAUGGUGUUAGCCUGGGACCAAGAAAUGUGGAGCAGACAGCAAAGGUGGCAUGAUCCAAAGCGUCUGCAAAGGGGACGGUGGGGACAAGAAGACAUCAUAUGGCCUUGUGUGGCCGUAGCCAGAAGAUGGAAUGGGGCUAUUCAGUCCCUGCCCAAACCACCCCUAUUUCAGCAGGUAAAAGUGGAGGGCAGAAAUAAAUCUGUUGGCAAAGAGCUGGGAAUG
ensembl:lncRNA